GAUGAACGCUGGCGGCGUGCCUAAUACAUGCAAGUCGAGCGAACAGACGAGGAGCUUGCUCCUCUGACGUUAGCGGCGGACGGGUGAGUAACACGUGGAUAACCUACCUAUAAGACUGGGAUAACUUCGGGAAACCGGAGCUAAUACCGGAUAAUAUAUUGAACCGCAUGGUUCAAUAGUGAAAGACGGUUUUGCUGUCACUUAUAGAUGGAUCCGCGCCGCAUUAGCUAGUUGGUAAGGUAACGGCUUACCAAGGCGACGAUGCGUAGCCGACCUGAGAGGGUGAUCGGCCACGCUGGAACUGAGACACGGUCCAGACUCCUACGGGAGGCAGCAGUAGGGAAUCUUCAGCAAUGGGCGAAAGCCUGACGGAGCAACGCCGCGUGAGUGAUGAAGGUCUUCGGAUCGUAAAACUCUGUUAUUAGGGAAGAACAAAUGUGUAAGUAACUAUGCACGUCUUGACGGUACCUAAUCAGAAAGCCACGGCUAACUACGUG
rnacentral:rRNA from 1 species